AUGCAUGAACUCAUCAAAAUUUUUACCGGCAGGCAAUACGCAGCUGCCCUGGCAUCAUAUGUCGGACUGACGCAGCGGAUACUGCUGCUGUUGCCUGCUCUGUGCCCUCUGAUCCUCCCCCGGUCCUGGCCUCUGCUGUGGGUCUUUUCUUCCAUCCGUUGUCAUCUAAGCGCUAGGUCGUUACUGGAUAAAUUAAACUCAGUCCAUUUCUCCUUUACUCCGUACUUCAGUCUUCUGCUGAUAUUGUCGGAUCAUGAAAGACAAGCUAUGCUCCCCAUUCACAGCUGUUACGCAACACGUGACUCAGUCCAUAAAAGCGAUCAUUAA
ensembl:lncRNA